UGGGGAAUAUUGGACAAUGGGGGAGACCCUGAUCCAGCCAUGCCGCGUGAGUGAAGACGGCCUUCGGGUUGUAAAGCUCUUUUACAUGGGAAGAUGAUGACGGUACCAUGAGAAUAAGCACCGGCAAACUUCGUGCCAGCAGCCGCGGUAAUACGAAGGGUGCAAGCGUUGUCCGGAAUUACUGGGUGUAAAGGGAGCGCAGGCGGGAAGACAAGUUGGAAGUGAAAUCCAUGGGCUCAACCCAUGAACUGCUUUCAAAACUGUUUUUCUUGAGUAGUGCAGAGGUAGGCGGAAUUCCCGGUGUAGCGGUGGAAUGCGUAGAUAUCGGGAGGAACACCAGUGGCGAAGGCGGCCUACUGGGCACCAACUGACGCUGAGGCUCGAAAGUGUGGGUAGCAAACAGGAUUAGAUACCCUGGUAGUCCACACCGUAAACGAUGAUUACUAGGUGUUGGAGGAUUGACCCCUUCAGUGCCGCAGUUAACACAAUAAGUAAUCCACCUGGGGAGUACGACCGCAAGGUUGAAACUCAAAGGAAUUGACGGGGGCCCGCACAAGCAGUGGAGUAUGUGGUUUAAUUCGACGCAACGCGAAGAACCUUACCAAGUCUUGACAUCCCUUGACAGGCAUAGAAAUAUGUUUUCUCUUCGGAGCAAGGAGACAGGUGGUGCAUGGUUGUCGUCAGCUCGUGUCGUGAGAUGUUGGGUUAAGUCCCGCAACGAGCGCAACCCUUAUGGUCAGUUACUACGCAAGAGGACUCUGGCCAGACUGCCGUUGACAAAACGGAGGAAGGUGGGGAUGACGUCAAAUCAUCAUGCCCUUUAUGACUUGGGCUACACACGUACUACAAUGGCGUUAAACAAAGAGAAGCAAGACCGCGAGGUGGAGCAAAACUCAGAAACAACGUCCCAGUUCGGACUGCAGGCUGCAACUCGCCUGCACGAAGUCGGAAUUGCUAGUAAUCGUGGAUCAGCAUGCCACGGUGAAUACGUUCCC
rnacentral:rRNA from 1 species